GACGAACGCUGGCGGCGUGCCUAAUACAUGCCAGUAGAACGCACAGUUUAUACCGUAGCUUGCUACACCAUAGACUGUGAGUUGCGAACGGGUGAGUAACGCGUAGGUAACCUGCCUGGUAGCGGGGGAUAACUAUUGGAAACGAUAGCUAAUACCGCAUAAUAUUGAUUAUUGCAUGAUAAUUAAUUGAAAGGUGCAAUUGCACCACUACCAGAUGGACCUGCGUUGUAUUAGCUAGUAGGUGAGGUAACGGCUCACCUAGGCGACGAUACAUAGCCGACCUGAGAGGGUGAUCAGCCACACUGGGACUGAGACACGGCCCAGACUCCUACGGGAGGCAGCAGUAGGGAAUCUUCGGCAAUGGACGAAAGUCUGACCGAGCAACGCCGCGUGAGUGAAGAAGGUUUUCGGAUCGUAAAGCUCUGUUGUAAGAGAAGAACGGGUGUGAGAGUGGAAAGUUCACACUGUGACGGUAUCUUACCAGAAAGGGACGGCUAACUACGUG
rnacentral:rRNA from 1 species